AUGUAGGAGAACAAUUUAAAGAUAGAAGACCUUUAAAUGUAAGAAGGAAAGAGAUUUUGUUUAGUUGAUAAAUGAAGAAAUGGAGGUAGUUUGGAAGGUUUAAUAUAUGUAGCUUUAUGGAGAGAGACUUUUAUAAUUCUUCAACUUUUAUUACACAAGGGAUCACUUUGGCACACACUUGGGCUCAGACUUUGCUUCACUCCUUUUGUACAUCAUACAAAUGAGGAGGUCUUCCCCUAUUUAUAGGCAUCAACCUCCAUGUUCUACGACAUUCUAGAAUAUUACAUAUAAGUAUCCUAAACAUUAUUCAUAUCUACCUAUUCUCAUAUGUUCUAGAAUAUUCCACUAUUCUAGAAUAUUCUCACAUUCUCUACUAUACAUAAAAGAGUUUCUAUCAUCUUCUAGAAUGUUCCAGAGAACUCCAUAAUGUUCUCGAACCUUCUAGAACAUUUUAGCUCAUUCUACACUAUGUUAGAAUAGUCUAGAAUAUUCUAGUAAUAUCUAGCUUUGGUUUAAUAUAUUGUUCACAUUGCCUCCCUUAAACCAAAGCCUCGUAGGUGGUCAUUCCUAAUAACUUUUUCNN
rnacentral:lncRNA from 1 species